rnacentral:rRNA from 1 species
GUCUACGGCCAUGCCACCCUUAACGUGCCCAAUCUCGGAAGCUAAGCAGGGUCGGGCCUGGUUAGUACCUGGAUGGGAGACCACCUAGGAAUACCGGGUGUUGUAGGCG